rnacentral:lncRNA from 1 species
AGUUUAUAGAACAGAUUAUCUCUGUAAGUUAGAGGCAGAACCUCUAAAUAGUUGACAUAUAAACUAGCACUAAGGAAGUGGAACCGAAGGACUGGUACAAACAGACUAUCGCACAAAUGAAUAUUACUGUCUGACAAUCAAAUAGUCUCUUGUCUAGGCAUAGCAAGAGGAUCUAUUCUCCCAUGAGACAGUGUUAUGACACCAACAACCAGAGACCAGACUGGACUAUUAUCGUGUAAGUUUAC